rfam:Bacillus sp. FJAT-18017 genome.
CGGCGAAGCUAUCCUGUCCGUUACACAUGGGAGCACUCGGUUAUGCAGUGGGAGGGUAAUCCCUCCUUAGACGCCAGUCGUCAAUUGCGUGAUGUGAGGGUGGGUUAGAUGCCCA